UACGGGGGUUACAAGCGUUGUUCGGAUUUAUUGGGCGUAAAGGGCGCGUAGGUGGGCCGGCAAGUCGGCUGUGAAAUCCCCGGGCUUAACCCGGGGCCUGCACUCGAUACUGCCGGUCUUGAGUACGGGAGAGGAGAAUGGAAUUCCAGGUGUAGCGGUGAAAUGCGUAGAUAUCUGGAAGAACACCAGUAGCGAAGGCGGUUCUCUGGCCCGAUACUGACACUGAAGCGCGAAGGCUUGGGUAGCAAACAGG
rnacentral:rRNA from 1 species